rnacentral:rRNA from 1 species
AUGCACGCUGGCGGCGUGCCUAAUACCUGCAAGUCGAGCGCACAGACGAGGAGCUUGCUCCUCUGACGUUAGCGGCGGACGGGUGAGUAACACGUGGAUAACCUACCUAUAAGACUGGGAUAACUUCGGGAAACCGGAGCUAAUACCGGAUAAUAUAUUGAACCGCAUGGUUCAAUAGUGAAAGACGGUUUUGCUGUCACUUAUAGAUGGAUCCGCGCCGCAUUAGCUAGUUGGUAAGGUAACGGCUUACCAAGGCGACGAUGCGUAGCCGACCUGAGAGGGUGAUCGGCCACACUGGAACUGAGACACGGUCCAGACUCCUACGGGAGGCAGCAGUAGGGAAUCUUCCGCAAUGGGCGAAAGCCUGACGGAGCAACGCCGCGUGAGUGAUGAAGGUCUUCGGAUCGUAAAACUCUGUUAUUAGGGAAGAACAAAUGUGUAAGUAACUAUGCACGUCUUGACGGUACCUAAUCAGAAAGCCACGGCUAACUACGUG